rnacentral:rRNA from 1 species
GCUAAACGCGAAGAACCUUACCUGGCCUUGACAUGUCCGGAAUCCUGCAGAGAUGCGGGAGUGCCUUCGGGAAUCGGAACACAGGUGCUGCAUGGCUGUCGUCAGCUCGUGUCGUGAGAUGUUGGGUUAAGUCCCGCAACGAGCGCAACCCUUGUCCUUAGUUGCCAGCGAGUAAUGUCGGGAACUCUAAGGAGACUGCCGGUGACAAACCGGAGGAAGGUGGGGAUGACGUCAAGUCCUCAUGGCCCUUACGGCCAGGGCUACACACGUACUACAAUGGUCGGUACAGAGGGUUGCCAAACCGCAAGGUGGAGCCAAUCCCAGAAAGCCGAUCCCAGUCCGGAUCGGAGUCUGCAACUCGACUCCGUGAAGUCGGAAUCGCUAGUAAUCGCGGAUCAGCUAUGCCGCGGUGAAUACGUUCCCGGGUCUUGUACACACCG